CCGAUGUAGAAAAUUUAUCUUCGUAUUUUCAAUCUACUGAGGCAAAAUGUUGGCAACGAAUAAUUCCUACUACACCCAGGCCAAAAAUAAGGAUGACAACUAGAAGACCAGAAAGUAGAUAUGAUCUUCGACCUCGCCCCGCAACGAUAACAACAACAACGACAGAGAGGAUAAGUGAAGCUAAAAUUAGACGGCCGACUGAAAUUGGAGAUAUCCGAAGAGAAGAAGGACUCGAGCAAAGCAAACAUUCUGUAAAAAAUGAAUCCUCUAAAGCUGGAAGUG